rnacentral:misc_RNA from 1 species
GGAACAGAUUUAGCCACAGCAUCAAUGAUUUUCAUCUUAUUGAUUCCAGUAUUUGCUCGGGAUUCAUAAAGCACUGCGAACUUCUUUGGACUGUCGCUUUCAGCAGGUAGGUAUUUUGUAAUGAGAGGUGUUAUUGCUUUUCCAAUUUCCUCCUCUGAUGCAUAACAUGUUACUUCAACUGGUAACACUCGCAAGAUGAACCUUGAUACAUGUUUCUUUGUCAAGGCAAGUGAGGACAGCAUAUGUUGAACGAUUUCCUUAGGGUUGGGGUCUCCAUCUUUCUUGCUCAUGUGAACAAACACAACACCGUUGCAACCUGUGUCUAGGUAGCUAAAACGCCUCUUGCUUUUGUCUCCCAACUCAGCAAGCUCAGCAUCAAUUAGUCUAUCAAUAGAUUUCUCCUCUGUCUUACCAAAUGCAAUAUUUCCAGCUUCUGCUGCUUCUUUUUCCACACAUUGUUUCUUUGCAGGUGGCUCCCCAACUUCAAUAUCUUUCUGUUCAAGAGUAUUCUCUAGCUCCUCCUUAUUCUCAGUAUUUCCUUGUAUUAGUUCAUCAGUAGAGGUGUUAUCCUGGUUUUCAGGCUCGGAUGCACCAGUUUUUAAGCUGUCAAUCUCAUCGUCAGUUUUCUCCUGAUGUUGCUCAAUUUUUGAAGUCUCCUCCUUGGUCUGGUCCUCGCCAUUCCCAUUUUCUCCAUCUUCAUCAUCAUCAUCACUACUAGAAGAAUCAGAAUAUUUGAAAACAGUCUUUUUGUUUACAGGUUUUUCUGAUAAUUCUACCUGUCCUAAGUUUAAAUUUGUCCCCUGCACCAGCUCUUCAUAAAAAGAGUCGAUAACAUUAACAGCUUCUUGAGAGGCUUGUCGUUCCCUUCCACCGUCACAUGUUAUAUAAAACCCUUGAACUCCUGGACGUAAAGGGUAUGCACCUUUCUUCACUGAUUUAUUGUUUGGACGAUAUCGUUGCCUAUUCUUGUUGUUACUCUUCGUUUUUUGCUUUGAUUUGUUGUCUGUGGCCAUUGAAAACGAGAGCAAAACAGUGGCUGCAGUGGUGGAGAAGAUGGACUGUAGCGAAAGGAAGAAAAUUU